UCAAAGAAUAAUAUUCCUAAUUAAAUAUUUAUAAAACAAAUAACUUAAUUCUCAAACUUUAGCACGCAAGAUUUCCAACGGUACUUCGUUCCACAAACUUACAAAUCUCACACAAGUGAAGCAUUUUUCAAUUUUUGGUUAACGCUGAAACCCAAAAGGAUAAUCGCUUGUUUGUUACCUCCGCUAGGAACGAGUCUUCUGUUCUUGUUGGAGAGCCAAGUAUCUGUCGAAUUAACGCAAAUCCUUUUUAAAUAAUAAAUCUUCCGUUAAGUGUAAUGAAUCUGUGAAAAACGAGGAUAGCUGGGAAAUAGAAGGUGCCAGGAUACGAGACGUCUUUUGUAGAGGUUAGGACGACCAGUGGCGAUAAGCGGUGCCGGUCGUACAGACACAGCUGUAAAAUAGGCCAAGACUUCAGAACGAUACUUGCUGCUUGCUGCUUAGCCUCGUUAUUAACCAGGAGUUGGAUAUUUGGAUACCCUUAAUCUCUUUUCUACGAUUCUACCGACUCUAACCUGCCUGACUGAACGUUGACAAAUAGUAUCAAGUUGCCUACCGCGAUGCCAGCGCUACUCUGGAGCCGCUAUCUGAUUUUAAAGGACACGUCAUCGAAGAUGAUCCUCCGUUGACAAAAGGUGUCGAGACCGAACCUGGAUCGUCGUCCGGAAUUUUUCCCGAAAUUGCCAGCGCCGUUUUACCGGAUGCAAUUGACACACGUGAUAAAAUAAAUGAUUGAUCGAGUGCUUGCGUAAAUAUUGUGAAGGAUAAUAGAGAUAUAAGGAAAGAGGAGUUAUACAAGGUGUCUCACACAAACACGUGAAAAUACCACGUUUUAAUGAAACCUGAAACUACAAACAUGAUUUACCGAUAUUAAUCAUCAUACUAUAACUGCCGCUCGAUGCUAUGAGGCAAGAGAAUAAAAUCGUUUAAAACAAGAUUCGUAUCGACGAAAGUGGAAACCGCGGCAAAGAAACGGUAGAAAUCAAGGCCAAGUUCAUCAACUGGGAGAAAGAACACUGAACACCUAACAAGACCAAGAAAAAGAACGAAACGCAGAAGGAAAGACAGAAAGAAAAAAACAUAUACGCACACGGCAGCAUCGCCGAGAUCCUUCACGAGUCAGUUCGAUGAGGAGAACGGCAGAGAAACGAUACGCGAUGAAGAUAGACGAAUACAGAGGAAUCACGAAGGGAAGAGAGAAAGGAGGAGCCAGUUCAACGAGUUCUAAGGCGGUGGCGGCCUUAAAAAGAUGUCGAACGCUUUGAUGUUUGCCGCACGUCAUCUUGUGCGCUACCUUUGCGCGCUGAUCCACGCUACAACCAACGGCUAGCAAGGGAUUGCCGAAAGAUCGCGAUCAAGAGGGUAGAAUCGCGUGCAGGUACCCUUUAGUCUUCGCAGUUCGCACGAAUUCACAUCACCUUGAUGGUUCACUCGUAUAUACUCUUUUUAAAGAUGUUCCUUGUCGACGAAUAGUUCACGAACAUUGUUUGCAAAUAGAUGCUCGCAAAUAUUUAUAUUUCAUAUAUAUGUAGUCAUGUAUUACACCUUUUGAUUUGACCUGCAAGCUUGGGAUAUUCGAUUAACAUUUAUGUCCAUGUCAAACAUUUCACAAAUUAUACAAUUUAAAGAACUAAUCUCGGAAAAAUUGUUAUUAGCCUUUAAUAUGUUCCAAAAAA